GACGAACGCUGGCGGCGUGCUUAACACAUGCAAGUCGAACGGAAAGGCCCUGCUUUUGUGGGGUGCUCGAGUGGCGAACGGGUGAGUAACACGUGAGUAACCUGCCCUUGACUUUGGGAUAACUUCAGGAAACUGGGGCUAAUACCGGAUAGGAGCUCCUGCUGCAUGGUGGAGGUUGGAAAGUUUCGGCGGUUGGGGAUGGACUCGCGGCUUAUCGGCUUGUUGGUGGGGUAGUGGCUUACCAAGGCUUUGACGGGUAGCCGGCCUGAGAGGGUGACCGGCCACAUUGGGACUGAGGUACGGCCCAGACUCCUACGGGAGGCAGCAGUGGGGAAUAUUGCACAAUGGGCGGAAGCCUGAUGCAGCAACGCCGCGUGCGGGAUGACGGCCUUCGGGUUGUAAACCGCUUUCGCCUGUGACGAAGCGUGAGUGACGGUAAUGGGUAAAGAAGCACCGGCUAACUACGUG
rnacentral:rRNA from 1 species